rnacentral:rRNA from 1 species
UACGAAGGGGGCGAGCGUUGUUCGGAAUCACUGGGCGUAAAGGGCUCGUAGGCGGCCAACUAAGUCGGAUGUGAAAUCCCCAGGCUUAACCUGGGAACUGCAUCCGAUACUGGAUGGCUUGAAUCCGGGAGAGGUGAGUGGAACUGCGAGUGUAGAGGUGAAAUUCGUAGAUAUUCGGAAGAACACCAGUGGCGAAGGCGACUUACUGGACGAUUGUUGACGCUGAGGUGCGAAAGCGUGGGGAGCAAACAGG